UUCCUAGAGAUGCUAGAAUUCUGGAGAAUUUUAUCUUUGAAAAUCUUUAAAAUAUUGCAUGAUGAGUUCCUGUAUGAUGAGAGUUUAAAUUCCUACCACAGCCAUAUAUACAUGCUUGCUAGACUUUGAGCCACACAUUUACUUUACUGCUUAUGAGCAUUGAGUGUGGUCAAGCUGUGUAGACCCUUAGGAGCUUGUCAUGUGGUUAAAAUCAAGAUUUCACUUGCACGUUCACUCAUAUAUGCUACUUCUACUCCGGAAGUACCAUCCACAUAUAUCCAUCUAUUUCCAUCUCCAGAAUCACCCAAAAAUAUUCUACUCCUAAUCCGGGAGAGAAUAGCCAAAAAUAUUUCUGUUUUUCCCCUGUGAAAUAAAUGCUCAAGUUAUCUUGUUACUACCACUUGCUAUAUUAUCUCAAGAGAUGAGUGCUCUAAAAAAAAGAUACGAGGAAGUAAAAAGGGGCAAGUGCCCGGAACCUCGAAAGAAAAGAAAGAGUGAGACGAGAGGUUAAAAUGGACAAGUGUCCGACAGUAGAAUUAGGGGUACAAGAUACCCACCUGAGAGAAAAGAAAAAGAAGAGCAUCUCAUUCUCCUCAUAAAAUUUCAAAAAGCAAGGAAGGUAUGUAUCCCCUCAAAAGAGCAAAAGUAGAAUUAGACUUUCACCACUGUUAUCACCAUCAUCACCAUACACCAUUCAUUCGCCACACAUGCACAUCUUGAUUUGACUUAUUGAUUUGUUCCUUUGGAUCCAUGGUUUGACUAUACAAUAAAUGUCUUGUAAGUAUGUAUACUUUAUCUCCCACCUAUGAGCUC
rnacentral:lncRNA from 1 species